CCGGGAACGACACAAAUAUACGAAGCGAAAUUAAAAAAUAUUCUGAGGCGAAUUUUGACGCGCCUGACAAAACACAUCAAGCGUAAUGCGGUCUUGCGAGUUUCCAGGGGGAAAAAAGACGCGUCCCGGGUGGAAGCGAGAAGACUGACACAACAGCAGACUGACUGUUCUUCAGUUCUGAUUAGACUCUAGUGUUGAGAUGUCUGUCUGUCAUGAUAGCAUGUACUGAGUCAGGGUCAGUACCAGAUAAGAACAUUAAACUAUAAUCCAUAAACGUAAGGUAACAACUGAGACCUAAUGGUGCUGUGACAGCAACGAGAUUGAGUUUGAGACAGUGAAAAUACAUAUGGUAUGUUGUAUCUGAACAGGUUAGCUUACGAGCUAAAGUUACUUAGCACAGAUGAAAGUUAAAACAAAGACGUUUAGCAAACUGUUAAAGCACACAAACCAUCGUCAUAUGACGAA